GAUGAACGCUGGCGGAAUGCUUUACACAUGCAAGUCGAACGGCAGCACGGACUUCGGUCUGGUGGCGAGUGGCGAACGGGUGAGUAAUGUAUCGGAACGUGCCCAGUCGUGGGGGAUAACGUAGUGAAAAUUACGCUAAUACCGCAUACGAUCUAUGGAUGAAAGCGGGGGAUCGCAAGACCUCGCGCGAUUGGAGCGGCCGAUAUCAGAUUAGGUAGUUGGUGGGGUAAAGGCCCACCAAGCCAACGAUCUGUAGCUGGUCUGAGAGGACGACCAGCCACACUGGAACUGAGACACGGUCCAGACUCCUACGGGAGGCAGCAGUGGGGAAUUUUGGACAAUGGGCGAAAGCCUGAUCCAGCCAUUCCGCGUGCAGGAUGAAGGCCCUCGGGUUGUAAACUGCUUUUGUACAGAACGAAAAGGUUUCUACUAAUACUAGGAGCUCAUGACGGUACUGUAAGAAUAAGCACCGGCUAACUACGUGCCAGCCGCCGCAGUAA
rnacentral:rRNA from 1 species